AUUGAACGCUGGCGGCAGGCUUAACACAUGCAAGUCGAGCGGAGUGAUGGUGCUUGCACUAUCACUUAGCGGCGGACGGGUGAGUAAUGCUUAGGAAUCUGCCAUUUAGUGGGGGACAACAUUCCGAAAGGAAUGCUAAUACCGCAUACGUCCUACGGGAGAAGGCAGGGGAUCUUCGGACCUUGCGCUAAAUGAUGAGCCUAAGUCGGAUUAGCUAGUUGGUGGGGUAAAGGCCUACCAAGGCGACGAUCUGUAGCGGGUCUGAGAGGAUGAUCCGCCACACUGGGACUGAGCCACGGCCAGACUCCUACGGGAGGCAGCAGUGGGGAAUAUUGGACAAUGGGCGGAAGCCUGAUCCAGCCAUGCCGCGUGUGUGAAGAAGGCCUUUUGGUUGUAAAGCACUUUAAGCGAGGAGGAGGCUCUCCUAGUUAAUACCUAGGAAGAGUGGACGUUACUCGCAGAAUAAGCACCGGCUAACUCUGUGCCAGCCGCCGCCGUAACAC
rnacentral:rRNA from 1 species